CCCUUUCCCAUUAGACACCAUCCUGAAAUUUUCCUUCCUAGGGUGCAUACCCUCAAUCCUACCACCCAAUUCCCCAAAAUCAAUAAGCAUCACUCGAUCAUCUUAAACCUCUGAACCCUUCCUUCUCCCUGCAGAGCCCCAAUGACCCUUUCCCCUUUGCUUGUUCCCAAACCCUGGCAGAGGAGUCCUACUAGUCUCAGACCUAAGAUUUCCUCCACCAUUAUGAAAAUUAUUGUUAUUAAUAUUGAUGUUGUUGUUGUUUUUUCUCCUCUCAAUCCCUCUCCUAUCUUGUUCAACAGCAUCUAAAUUUGUAGCAAAAUUAAAAAAAAUUUGGACCUUGUUUAUGCGGUUCAACAUGGAAGUUCAAGUUUCCAUUGUUCAGCUUCAAGUAUAGUAACAAAUCCACUACCCCAUUAGGUGAAACUUCAUGAGCAAAAGCGUCAUUAGGCAAAGACCCGAACUUUAGCUUCAACUUCUGCUGCUAAACAAAAGCAUAAACUCUAAUAUUGCUGUUAUUGCUUAUAUUAGUAGUAGUAGUAGCGGCAGUUUCGACUAGAAACUCUAAUCUCCUGAGAUCGUCGAUUCUAAUAUUGGAAUUGGGAAUUGAGGUUAGGGUUUGAGUUUGGGGUACACCAGGAGGAGGGGCAAACGGAUUAUGAGUCAACCAAAAGAGAUUUUGCAGGUAAGAGGGUGUGGGGCCAAGGAAACUGAAGAUGGUUCUGUUGUUUCUGUUGUUGUUAAUGAUGGUGAUGGUGAUGGAACUAAGGGAUGGGGUGAUCAUAACCGUUGGAUUGCCAUGGGGACGGGGGUACAAAUGAAAUUGUGGGACCCAUUAAUGCGACGGUGGGAUCCAGUGCUGUUGGAGAUUAUUGUUGCUGCUGCUGCCGCGGAGGUGGCGGUUGCUUUUGGUGGUGUGAUUGAGGCGGAGGAGGAGGUUGAUUGUGGUGUUGAGGGAGAGGGGUUUUCUUGUCCAAUUUUUAAAAUUAUCCUUCCACUAAUGUGCCACGUGUGCAGCCGUAACGCCAGGUCAUCAGAGCGGGAGCCACGUCAGACUUUUUCGUUGAGUCUAACGGAGGUAUUUGCACGGAGGGAUUAAUCCGUCCAACUUUUAUGAAGGAUAUUUGACAGGAAAGAAAAGGAUAAGGCCAUGGAGUCCGGUAAAAGGAAGCGGACUUUACAGACUGCUGAAACAGGAGAUGUGGCAUUCUAUGAGAGACGGAUCAGUGAGAGAGAUAGAGCUUAUCAGAAUACACCUCCCACUGAUCCAUACAAGUUCAGCAACCUCUACUCGGAGCUUAAGUUCCUCGAUUUCCUUUAGAAAAGGAGCCUCCAUGUUGAGAGAAAGCUCCAAAUACCCGCUGGGCUGCAAAAGUUUACUGAGCAUCAGAUUGCUCAGUGGGGAUGGAGUUUCCUGGAGAGGGAACUUGUGGCCAUGAAUGCAUCAUGAGUCCAGAAUUCUAUUCCAACUACUACACAGGGGCCCUCGAUGCAGUUCACCUACAAGGCAGGAAGAUUCUGGUUACUGAGCAGGUUAUAGAGCGUACAUUUCACUUUUCACCUAGGCCCAGUAGAAAAGAUGCUUUUGAAGAGGCAGAAAGUGAAAGAAAGAUGAUGAAUUUUGACUGGGAUAAGGUAUUGGGUGUGAUUGCCAAGCCUAGGAGUUCAUGGAUUUAUGGAGCUGACAAGAUGACUCCCAAGGCUAUCUUAGUCCAUGCUUUGACCAUCGAGGCACGGAUUUGCCAGCAAAUCUUGGCCAAUUAUAUAAUGCCGAACACCCACGAGACCCACAUCAUUGCCGACAUGGUAGUCUUGUCUAGUGUGUCUUGGAAGGUAAAAAACUAUACCUUCCAAGGUCCAUCAGAAAGAACAUGAGGCAGACUCACCAUAUUGGCAACCUGGCCUUUCUGUGUAUGAUCAUUGAGCUAGCUAUGGAGGCCGAGGUUAUCUGGCUAACCAAUUAUGAGAGGCCGACCAUCGCAGGCAGCAAGAAGGUAAUUUCUCAUGGCAAAUAGUUUGGACCUCAGUCGACCUCCAGACGCUGAGGUAGACAUUAGGCAGUAUCUCCUUCAGAGGCAGGGCCUUCAGCUUCAACAGCCCCCUCAGCACCAGCAGCAUCAUCAUCACAGCCACUCUACCGUCUGAUCCACCGGCUAGUAGAGGACAUAGCCCAUUGGGAGCGCCGCUCCAAACGGAGCUAUUAGAACAUUAAGAGACAACACCCGGCUUGGAACACGGCGAUAGAGGAGCCGAACACCCCCUCCGAGCACAGUAAGGAGGAGGAGAACGACCAACCAGGGUGCGAGGAGGAGGAGCACGACCCACCAGCUGAGGGUGGAGACAACGAUAACGACUCUUUCCACUCCGCAUGACUUCAUAAGCACCGAUAAUGGUGCUAGAUCUUAAGUGUGGGGAGGUCAUCUUACCAUUGGCGAUGCAUUUUGGGUGACAAUUCUUCCAUUCUAAACACUUUAACUUUAGAUUUUAUUAUGUUUUUUAGAUAUUUUGUAUAUAUUGUGUUAUUUUGAACACUUUUUUCUUAAUUUAUUGUACUUUCUAUCUUUGUUUGU